GAUGAACGCUAGCGGCAGGCUUAAUACAUGCAAGUCGAGGGGGCAUUUCGGUGUCACCGGCGAACGGGUGCGUAACGCGUAUGCAACCUACCCUUAUCAGGGGGAUAGCCCUAGGAAACUGGGAUUAACACCGCAUAACAUAAAUUAUGGCAUCAUGAUUUAUUAAAAUAUUUAUAGGAUAAGGAUGGGCAUGCGUUAGAUUAGUUAGUUGGUAGGGUAACGGCUUACCAAGACGACGAUCUAUAGGGGCUCUGAGAGGAGUAUCCCCCACACUGGCGCUGAGAUACGGGCCAGACUCCUACGGGAGGCAGCAGUAGGGAAUAUUGGGCAAUGGAGGCAACUCUGACCCAGCCAUGCCGCGUGCAGGAAGACGGUCCUCUGGAUUGUAAACUGCUUUUGAAUAGGAAGAACACUACUCUUGCGAGAGUAUUUGACGGUACUAUUAGAAUAAGCACCGGCUAACUCCGUGCCAGCAGCCGCAGUAA
rnacentral:rRNA from 1 species